UACGGAGGGUGCAAGCGUUGUCCGGAAUCACUGGGCGUAAAGGGCGCGUAGGCGGCUCAUGAAGGCUGUGGUGAAAGUCCGGGGCUCAACCUCGGAUCGGCCGUGGCGACUCGUGGGCUGGAGCACUGUAGAGGCGGGUGGAAUUCCGGGUGUAGCGGUGGAAUGCGUAGAGAUCCGGAAGAACACCAGUGGCGAAGGCAAUCCCCUGGGCCUGCACUGACGCUCAUGCACGAAAGCGUGGGGAGCAAACAGG
rnacentral:rRNA from 1 species